rnacentral:lncRNA from 1 species
UUCACUCUUUUUGACGGGCUUAGGAGACAACCCUUACAGAAUUUUCUCUCCUCUCUUUAAAGCUCAGAACUUGGAAGAAAAGAGGGAGAAGAACUUUUGGCCUUUACAACAAUUUUGAGCUCUAAAAAUCACAAAACAAGAUCAGGAUUUCGGUGUGUAUUGGUGCCCUUUCAAUGCUGAAUGAGUGGGGUAUUUAUACACCCCAACCCAGUUUGAAAUUUGAGC